rnacentral:ncRNA from 2 species
AUCUUAUCUAGAGUGGUGGAGGGACUGGCCCUAUGAAGCCCGGCAACCGGCCAUAAUAACUGGCGACGGUGCCAACUCCUGCGGAACCAGAAAAGGUUCUGAGAGAUGAGGG